rnacentral:rRNA from 1 species
UACGGGAGGGCAGCAGUGGGGAAUAUUGCACAAUGGGCGCAAGCCUGAUGCAGCCAUGCCGCGUGUAUGAAGAAGGCCUUCGGGUUGUAAAGUACUUUCAGUCGUGAGGAAGGUGUUAAGGUUAAUAACCUUAGCAAUUGACGUUAGCGACAGAAGAAGCACCGGCUAACUCCGUGCCAGCAGCCGCGGUAAUACGGAGGGUGCGAGCGUUAAUCGGAAUUACUGGGCGUAAAGGGCACGCAGGCGGUUAAUUAAGUUGGAUGUGAAAUCCCCGGGCUUAACCUGGGAAUGGCAUUCAAGACUGGUUAGCUAGAGUCUUGUAGAGGGGGUAGAAUUCCAUGUGUAGCGGUGAAAUGCGUAGAGAUGUGGAGGAAUACCGGGUGGCGAAGGCGGCCCCUGGGACAAAGACUGACGCUCAUGUGCGAAAGCGUGGGGAGCGAAACAGGAUUAGAUACC